CUUUAGCACCGAUAGAAGUGGAAAUCCUUGUGAGCCGGGGCUCGGCUCACAAGAUUGUAGCGGAAAGCGGGACACAUG
rnacentral:sRNA from 1 species